rnacentral:tRNA from 1 species
AAUAUAGUGCCUGAUGAAAAGGGUAGCUUUGAUAGAGCUAAUAAUGAAAUUUUAUUUCCUAUAUUA